GGGUCGUGUCGAGAGUUGCGGGGGUGGGGGACGGGAUCGCUGUAUGUGAUGUGUAUGAGUCAGAAUGAGAGCUGAUGCGUGAAGGAAGUCUCUUUCAUUCUCGUGUGUCACGCGAUCAGCGCCUGCCAGCUGGAAAGAUCUUUAACUGUUUGCAGCUAAGCGGUUUUGUGCGUACUCAAUGCCGCACUGAUCACAGUUCCUGGAAUUUAAGGGGCCUAACUGAUCGCCUGUCUUUGGCCACUGUGAAUGGGUAUCCAGACUCGGGAGGAAACCAAACUGGGAAGUCCUGCAGGCGAAAUCAUGCGCGCGAUAUACAACCCGAAAGUGGUUUUGGUGGAUGUGAGUCUCCUAAUAAAUUGUGCGGCGCUUUCAUUAUUUUUAAGAGGUGGAAAAUUUAGUGACUGGUGGAGACAGGAGGGCUGAUUCCACUGAAUUAUAUUCGUGACUAUUAAACAAUUUAUAAUCCGGUAA